GACGAACGGCUGGCGGCGUGCCUAACACAUGCAAGUCGAGCGAGGAGAGUUCCUUCGGGAACAAACCUAGCGGCGGACGGGUGAGUAACACGUGGGCAACCUGCCUUGUAGAGGGGAAUAGCCUUCCGAAAGGAAGAUUAAUACCGCAUAACAUUACAGUUUCGCAUGAAACNGUAAUUAAAGGAGCAAUCCGCUACAAGAUGGGCCCGCGGCGCAUUAGCUAGUUGGUGAGGUAACGGCUCACCAAGGCGACGAUGCGUAGCCGACCUGAGAGGGUGAUCGGCCACAUUGGGACUGAGACACGGCCCAGACUCCUACGGGAGGCAGCAGUGGGGAAUAUUGCACAAUGGGGGGAAACCCUGAUGCAGCAACGCCGCGUGAGUGAUGAAGGUUUUCGGAUCGUAAAGCUCUGUCUUCGGGGACGAUAAUGACGGUACCCGAGGAGGAAGCCACGGCUAACUACGUG
rnacentral:rRNA from 1 species